UGCUGGAGGUAUCAGAAGUGCGAAUGCUGACAUAAGUAACGAUAAAGCGGGUGAAAAGCCCGCUCGCCGGAAGACCAAGGGUUCCUGUCCAACGUUAAUCGGGGCAGGGUGAGUCGACCCCUAAGGCGAGGCCGAAAGGCGUAGUCGAUGGGAAACGGGUUAAUAUUCCCGUACUUGGUGUUACUGCGAAGGGGGGACGGAGAAGGCUAUGUUGGCCGGGCGACGGUUGUCCCGGUUUAAGCGUGUAGGUGUGUGUUCCAGGUAAAUCCGGUUCACUUUAACACUGAGGCGUGAUGACGAGGCACUACGGUGCUGAAGCAACAAAUGCCCUGCUUCCAGGAAAAGCCUCUAAGCAUCAGGUAACAUCAAAUCGUACCCCAAACCGACACAGGUGGUCAGGUAGAGAAUACCAAGGCGCUUGAGAGAACUCGGGUGAAGGAACUAGGCAAAAUGGUGCCGUAACUUCGGGAGAAGGCACGCUGACACGUAGGUGAAGUGAUUUACUCACGGAGCUGAAGUCAGUCGAAGAUACCAGCUGGCUGCAACUGUUUAUUAAAAACACAGCACUGUGCAAACACGAAAGUGGACGUAUACGGUGUGACGCCUGCCCGGUGCCGGAAGGUUAAUUGAUGGGGUCAGCGCAAGCGAAGCUCCUGAUCGAAGCCCCGGUAAACGGCGGCCGUAACUAUAACGGUCCUAAGGUAGCGAAAUUCCUUGUCGGGUAAGUUCCGACCUGCACGAAUGGCGUAAUGAUGGCCAGGCUGUCUCCACCCGAGACUCAGUGAAAUUGAACUCGCUGUGAAGAUGCAGUGUACCCGCGGCAAGACGGAAAGACCCCGUGAACCUUUACUAUAGCUUGACACUGAACAUUGAGCCUUGAUGUGUAGGAUAGGUGGGAGGCUUUGAAGUGUGGACGCCAGUCUGCAUGGAGCCGACCUUGAAAUACCACCCUUUAAUGUUUGAUGUUCUAACGUGGACCCGUUAUCCGGGUUGCGGACAGUGUCUGGUGGGUAGUUUGACUGGGGCGGUCUCCUCCUAAAGAGUAACGGAGGAGCACGAAGGUUGGCUAAUCCUGGUCGGACAUCAGGAGGUUAGUGCAAUGGCAUAAGCCAGCUUGACUGCGAGCGUGACGGCGCGAGCAGGUGCGAAAGCAGGUCAUAGUGAUCCGGUGGUUCUGAAUGGAAGGGCCAUCGCUCAACGGAUAAAAGGUACUCCGGGGAUAACAGGCUGAUACCGCCCAAGAGUUCAUAUCGACGGCGGUGUUUGGCACCUCGAUGUCGGCUCAUCACAUCCUGGGGCUGAAGUAGGUCCCAAGGGUAUGGCUGUUCGCCAUUUAAAGUGGUACGCGAGCUGGGUUUAGAACGUCGUGAGACAGUUCGGUCCCUAUCUGCCGUGGGCGCUGGAGAACUGAGGGGGGCUGCUCCUAGUACGAGAGGACCGGAGUGGACGCAUCACUGGUGUUCGGGUUGUCAUGCCAAUGGCACUGCCCGGUAGCUAAAUGCGGAAGAGAUAAGUGCUGAAAGCAUCUAAGCACGAAACUUGCCCCGAGAUGAGUUCUCCCUGAGACUUAGAGUCUCCUGAAGGAACGUUGAAGACGACGACGUUGAUAGGCCGGGUGUGUAAGCGCAGCGAUGCGUUGAGCUAACCGGUACUAAUGAACCGUGAGGCUUAACCUUACAACGCCGAAG
rnacentral:rRNA from 1 species